ACUCCUCACAUCAUCCAGUGUUUUUCCAAUCUGCGGGCUAGUUUUGCUGCAGGGUUUCAGAAAGACUACCCUUCAAGCUGAUAACUCACAUCAAACCCCUGUGCUGGUAAGUAUCUGCCCUGCUGUGCUGCUGAUGGGUACACACAGUUUGUACCAGGGAGUGAGUCAUAUUUUUGGAUGUCAAGAGUGCUGUCAAGAAAUAGCUAUGGUUCGUAAGAAAGAAUACCCAAGGGAAAAGAUGACUCCUCCAAGUUGGGUUCAAGUACAUGAUGCGUAAAAGCCACCGUGAUCUGCCAACAGGGGCCUCAAUAGGACUUGAGG